GGCAUUUGAAGAGUUCGAAGAGGGUAACUAGUUCAGUUGUAAUCAAGUUAAUUAUCAAACUUAAUUGAAUAGGAAUAUGGGGCGAAGUAUAUGUGGCAAUUUGUGAUACAAUAAGUGAAGCAGGACAAAGGAAAAUCAAAACUCAAUAUGGGAUGAAAGCAACACAACGAUAAACGUUAACGAAAGUAUAAUAUUUCGUUACCUGGAAUUCAAUUCAACAUGCAGUUUAAAAAGAAUACUGUACAAAGGAUUCAUUAAAAAUGCGCUUAUUAAAAUUUGAUUAAAAGCUAUUUUAUAUUUAAGCUAAUUGGUUUAACUUCUCGCCGGUUUAGUAAUUUGUAGAAACGAUAAAAGAAAAUAGUGUAUAAGGCAACAGCGCCAAAAAAAUGUUUUCUAAAACAUUUAUAUACCCCAUUUAUAAAUAAUAG
ensembl:ncRNA lncRNA:CR45674 long non-coding RNA:CR45674